rnacentral:tRNA from 1 species
GCCCGGCCUGCUCAGUGGGUGGAGCGUGUGACUCUGGAUCCCAGGGUUGUGGGUUCGAGCCCCACACUGGGUG